AUAAUCACAAUUAAGGGCGUAUCACUCAUAGCCUAGGCUAGUGACCUUCAUUGCACUUUGGAAGUGCAUUAGGCUAAGGUCUACCUAAUAGGUGGAGCCUACGUCAUAAUUUGUGGCAGCGGGGGCUUGCGUUCGCGCAGUCCCUAU
rfam:Ipomoea nil DNA, scaffold: scaffold0470, cultivar: Tokyo-kokei standard.